GCGCUUGCUUUGGCAGCACAUAUACUAAAAUUGGAACGAUACAGAGAUUAGCAUGGCUCCUGCACAAGGAUGACACACACAUUCAUGAAACAUUCCAUAUUUUU